AAACCCUGACGCAGCAACGCCGCGUGAAGGAUGAAGGCCUUCGGGUUGUAAACUUCUUUGAUUGGGGUCGAAUAAAUGACGGUACCCAAAAAACAAGCCACGGCUAACUACGUGCCAGCAGCCGCGGUAAUACGUAGGUGGCGAGCGUUGUCCGGAUUUACUGGGUGUAAAGGGCGUGUAGGCGGGAUUGUAAGUCAGAUGUGAAAUUCCGAGGCUUAACCUCGGCGCUGCAUCUGGAACUAUGAUUCUUGAGUAUCGGAGAGGAAAGUGGAAUUCCUAGUGUAGCGGUGAAAUGCGUAGAUAUUAGGAGGAACACCAGUGGCGAAGGCGGCUUUCUGGACGAUAACUGACGCUGAGGCGCGAAAGCGUGGGGAGCAAACAGGAUUAGAUACCCUGGUAGUCCACGCCGUAAACGAUGGAUACUAGGUGUAGGGGGUAUCAACUCCCUCUGUGCCGGAGUUAACACAAUAAGUAUCCCACCUGGGGAGUACGGCCGCAAGGUUG
rnacentral:rRNA from 1 species